rnacentral:ncRNA from 3 species
AGCAGCAUUGUACAGGGCU